rnacentral:rRNA from 1 species
UUUAAGGUCUAACCUGCCCAAUGAGGGUUUAAAUGGCCGCAGUAUUUUGACUGUGCAAAGGUAGCAUAAUUAUUAGUUUUUUAAUUGAAAGCUUGUAUGAAGGGUUGGACGAGAUAAAAUCUGUCUUUAUUUAAAUUAAAAUAUAAUUUAACUUUUAAGUCAAAAGGCUUAAAUAUUUAUAAAAGACGAGAAGACCCUAUAGAUCUUUAUUUAAUUAAGAUUUUAAUAAUUUAGGAUUAUUUUAAUUUAAAGUUUCAAUUAAAUUUUAUUGGGGUAAUAUAAAGAUUAAAUAAAUUCUUUUUAUUUAUAACAUUUAUUUAUGAAUAUAUGAUCCAUUAAUAUUGAUUAUAAGAUUAAGUUACCUUAGGGAUAACAGCGUAAUUUUUUUGGAGAGCUCAUAUCGAUAAGAAAGUUUGCGACCUCGAUGUUGGAUUAAAAAUUAGCUUGGGUGUAGAAGCUCAAGAUUUUGGUCUGUUCGACCAUUAAAUUUUUACAUGAUCUGAGUUCAGACCGGCGUAAGCCAGGUCGGUUUCUAUCUUUAUUUAAAUAAAAUGUUUUAGUACGAAAGGACCAAACAUUUAAUAUAAUUAUAUUUAUUUUUGAAGAAUAUU